rnacentral:lncRNA from 1 species
AGAAAUGAUCUUAGGCUUUCUUUGAUGUUCUUGAAGUCCACUUUGUCUAAAAAUCCCACCUUUGCACUAAAUAUAUCCUUAGUUGUCCCCUUUGAGCCUAAUCCUUUUUAUUGGCAACCACAUUAUGCCUUAUCCUUUUUGAAAAAGUAACCCUCUUUUGAACCCUUCCCUCCUUGAACUUGAGGUUGUGAAAAAAAUCGAGGCUAAAAACCUAAGUUGGUGGUGUUAUGGGAAAUUCAUUGAAGGGAUGGAUGCUUACAACAUGAGGGCUUGAUAGAAAAAAAAAAUGAAGAGAGAAAUUGAGGGUUGGAUGGAAAGUCUUAAAGAAAGAAAAAGCUUUGAAAAAAGAAAGAAAGAAAAUGAAUAAAUGAGACUUGAAUCCUUUAAAAUUUGAAAAUGGUUGUAUGUGGGGCAACUAGAGUAGAAAUAAGAAAAGAAUAAUGAAAAAUAGUGUGGAAUGUGCAUGGGUUUGAAAAGUGAGGGUUGGAUGGGAAGUCUCAAAGAAAGAAAAAGCUUUGAAAAAGAAAGAAAGAAAAUGAAGAACCUAAAUGUUAUCCUAACCUUUCCUAAGCCUAUAUUACAAGCUUAACAAAGUCCUUUGAGAUUUCUAACCAAAUGGAGUUGAGUCAAUAAUGAUUGAAAAUCUGGGCAAGCCUAUGGUGUGACAUUUUGUGUACAUGAGAUGAUUCUUUGUGAGUGUGAGUGUUGCAUCUUUGUUGUCCCAUGUCUUUUUUAUAUGUGUGCGGUUUUGGGACGCUUCUUUCAUGUGAGGGCAUGUAAACCGAAAAAGUGGUGAUUUUGAAAAUUCCUAAUUGAGUCAAGUGAGCAUGUGAAAGAGUUAAUGAGUUGAGUCAUCUCUUGAGUUUGAGUUGUUGUCACUUAAAUGAUUCUUGGUUUUUAAAACUGUAAUUAGAAUGUGAGGAUUUCUUAUGUGAAAAAAGUUUGCAUGUGGACUAUUUGUUAGUACCAACCGGAGCCAUUACCUUUGUGCUUAAUUGAGAAAGGGAAGCUGAUUUGUGGUGUGUCUUGAAAUAUGAGCCUCUUGUGUUCGAACAUUACUAAGAGUUGGGUAUUUUUAUUAACGACGACCGCUUACUCUGUUAACUUGUUUUGAGGGUGAUUUGAGCGUCAUCAAUUGUUUAAGAUUUUGGAAAAGUUUUAAACAUGUGUGUAUAUUACUUCCUAGUGAUGCAAAUCUCCAGCUUCUUUUCACUGUUGUGGAGAAUACACCAUCUGAAACAGUUUGAUCAAAUUGCACUGUUGGUCUUGGAGAUCUGGCAGUUCGUUUUUCUAAUCUGUUAGAGCCAUGGACAGAGCAUAUGUAUGCAUGAUUAAGAGAUCGUUCAUUCUCAUCUAAUACUUACUGAAUGACAUGAAGGUUUGGCUGGACUAUCAAACAUUUAUACUUAGCUUUCAUGUGUAAGAAUUUUUAUCAUCUUGAUUUGCGUGUAUCAUUAUUAGGUGGAAGUUUGUGUAAAUGAAAUGGCCAACUGUUUGGAAGAUGAAGAUGAAAGAAUUUCAAAUCUUGCCAAAACUUUCUUUCAUGAGUUGUCAAAGAUAAGGUAGUAUAUUUACUCAACUUUUCUUUCAUCAGUUCCCUAAUAAAGAAGUUCAUCUAUCUAAUCUCUUUCUAGUCUUUCUACUAUUGAGCUUCUUUCAUCUGUUAUUGCGUGUUUUGGUGUGCACGUCACUAUAAUACUUGUUUUUUUCCUUUACACUUAAUGUUUAGUGGGAACUUUUGCAUUGUUCCCGUCUUUUUGUUUAGUUCCAAUUUCUUUCAUUUGUUCUUGACCUUCAAUUAGGAGGAACAAAGGUAUUUUAGACUGGUUCCUCUUUUUUGGUUAGUUAUUAGGGUAUAUUUUCCUAAGAUUGUCGUAGAUCCAAGUGGAAACUUUUGAUUAUUGCAACUCUGUAAAACACAUGACCCUCUUUCUAAGAAAGUGUUCUUCUGCAGUUUUCUUGAACAAAGUAUGCGUUGAAACAGACACGUGGGAAAUUUGGUCUUUGUUCAAAGAUAGUACGUUGAGCAAUUGGUCUUGACCUGAUCAUCUGACGUUCCUCUGAUUCUACUUUUUUGAGUCUUUAGUUAUUUGUAUUAUAUUCCCUGUCUUGUUUCUGUUCUCUGUAGGAGGUGGUUGCGAGGGUGGUGGAUUAUUUCUUUGGAAUAAGAGAAUAUUUUGUACUGUUAGAAUGCUUCUUCCAGUGAUUUUUUCCUGUAUUUCUUCUUUCCAUUUUACUUGUUCUCAUCCAGAUCCUUUUCUCUCAUUUUAACUUUUUUUUAAUGUUAUAAUCACACAUUAAGUUUGAUGAUUUUGGAUGUCUUAUAAUUUUAACUUUUUCUAAUGUUAUAAUCACACAUUAGUUUGAUGAUUAAGAUGUCAAUGAAGUAAUAUUUCUCUGUUGGCAUUUGAGUGAUAUAUUAUCUGUAACUGAAGUUGUACUAUCUAAGGUGCAGUGUGAGCUGCAAUGUGAGGUAUGUACUGCACCGAAGCAAGGUGCAUGACAUUUAUUCAUAUGGGAACCCUGCCAAGUCUAAAUUCUCAACAGUUGCAUUAUUACUUAUUGUUAACAUUAAGUCAACCGUUGCUUACAGUGAUUGUUAAUCAUGUAAAAUCAAUUCAUGCUUUACUUCCAGGAGAAGAUGCUUUCCUCAAUGUGACAACUUAGAUUAUAUUUGAACUAAGAAAAAUAAUGGAGAUGUUCCAGGAGAAAUAGCUUGAUUGAGAAGCAGAAUAGAAAAAUGCAGAAACACCGAAGAAUUAGUGGAAAAGAUAAAUGAAUGCAAUCAAAGGGUAAUUCCAAAAAAGAGAAACAAAGUUGCAUAGUCUCCAUAGAACUAUAAAUGGAAUUUUAGUUUUUAAGAAAAUAUUGCUUUGUUAAUUUAUUUUGAUAAAGUGAAGUUACUAUUCGUGAAGGUCUUUGAACUUCUCUCAGGUAUUCAAACAAGUGAUUUUUUUGGAAAUUUGAACUAAGGCUCUAUGGUUGUCUGUAUCCCACCAUGGAGCUCUCCCUUGAAUCUUACUGUUUAAAUGUUGAUUAAUUUGCAGGCAAUGAGUGCAAGAUCGAUGCUGAGUUUUCUGACCGGUUCUUUAGCACUCUUUAAGCAUGUUCCUAAGGCUACCAAGUACUUCAACAUUAUAGUAAGUAUUGGUUAGUUUCAUCUUAUGCUCAAUUACAAUUUUCUAAGAUCAUUUUUUCUAUCAAACUACUUCCUAAUGACAUUUGCCUUCUCAAUCUUUUCCCUGUUGAUUAUAGUAAACGUGCAAAAAUAUUUUUGCUUUGGUAGUCCCUUGUAUUCUCUUUUGAUAUUUGGACUGUGAGGACACAAUCUCAUUUUCAGUUGGGGGUGCCUCCCUUGUACUCAUUUUGUUGAUUGUUUCUGCAUACUGCGAUUGUGCCCUUGUCGGGCGUACUUUUCCUCCUUGUUAUGGAUUGGUGUGCCCUUGUCGGGCUUUGAUAUUGUGGAUGUUUCUGUUGAUAUUGUGUUGGAUUGGUCUAUUUUAGUUUUUGAUUUGUAGUUUGUAGCUUCUUUGUUUUUUUUUUAUAAUAAGAUUUGGAUUAACGAUCCCCGAUGAUGGAUAGAGAGUGACGUCCUUCUUAAGGUUAAAUCAUCGAUUGCUUGUGAAUGUUUGAUUGGCGUUGAUUGUGGCGAAGUUUGAGUAGCCGUUCCCGAAUAGAUGCAUGAGGUUGCUUGUUGAUGGAUUGGUUGAUGACUUUAAGGGUAAAAUCAUCGUCAUUUUGGGAAGGUUUUGACUUGGUUGGUACUAAGAGCAUAGUCAUGCAUGUGAAUCAUGAGCAUACCUCUCCGUUUUUAUAAGGUUGAGCAUGUUAUGAAUGAUUUGUGACAACUCUUACAACUCUUUUUGUGACUUUUGAUUCGUUAGCGGUUAAAAUGUUCAGUGCUACUUGUAUUUUGAAAAGGAAGUAAGAUUUUGAACCAUCUUGAUUGAUUUGCAGGCCAUGUGUGGUGAGUUAUUGAAUAAUGCCUUGUGUUCGCUAUUGUCACCUAGAACUUGCCCGGUUGGUCUUGAAAUGUUGGUCUUGAUUGAGUUUGGUUGGAGAAAUGAUCUUAGGCUUUCUUUGAUGUUCUUGAAGUCCACUUUGUCUAAAAAUCCCACCUUUGCACUAAAUAUAUCCUUAGUUGUCCCCUUUGAGCCUAAUCCUUUUUAUUGGCAACCACAUUACAAGCCUUAUCCUUUUUGAAAAAAGUAACCCUCUUUUGAACCCUUCCCUCCUUGAACUUGAGGUUGUGAAAGUCGAGGCUAAAAGCCUAAGUUGGUGGUGUUAUGGGAAAUUCAUUGAAGUGAUCAAUGCUUACCAUAUCCGCUUGAUAGAAAAAAAAAGUAGAGAGAAAUUGAGGGUUGGAUGAGAAGUCUUAAAGAAAGAAAAUGCUUUGAAAAAGAAAGAAAGAAAAUGAAUAAAUGAGACUUGAAUCCUCCAAAAGUUGAAAAUGGUUGUAUGUGGGGCAACUAGAGUAGAAAUAAGAAAAGAAUAAUGAAAAAUAGUGUGGAAUGUGCAUGGGUUUGAAAAGUAGAGAAAGUUGGAAAUGAUGAGUUGUUGUGUAGUGUUCAAGGAGGGUGUAGUCACUUAUACCUAAAUGAUAUUCUAACCUUUCCUAAGCCUAUAUUACAAGCUUAACAAAGUCCUUUGAGAUUUCUAACCAAAUGGAGUUGAGUCAAUAAUGAUUGAAAAUAUGGGCAAGCCAAUGAUUGGUGUGACAUUUGUGUACAUGAGAUGAUUCUUUGUGAGUGUGAGUGUUGCAUCUUUGUUGUCCCAUGUCUUGUUUAUAUGUGUGUGCGGUUUUGGGACACUUCUUUCUUGUGAGGGCAUGUAAGCUGAAAAGUGGUGAUUUUGAAAAUUCCUAAUUGAGUCAAGAGCAUGUGAAAGUGUUAAUGAGUUGAGUCAUCUCUUGAGUUUGAGUUGUUGUCACUUAAAUGAUUCUUGGUUUUUAAAUAUGUAAUGAGAAUGAGAGGAUUUCUUAUGUGAAAAAAGUUUGCAUGUGGACUAUUUGUUAGUACCAACCGGAGCCAUUACCUUUGUGCUUAAUUGAGAAAGGGAAGUUGAUUUGUGGUGUGUCUUGAAUUAUGAGCCUCUUGUGUUCGAACAUUACUAAGUGUUGGGUAU